GACGAACGCUGGCGGCGUGCUUAACACAUGCAAGUCGAGCGGUAAGGCUCCUUCGGGAGUACACGAGCGGCGAACGGCUGAGUAACACGUGAGUAAUCUGCCCUUCACUUCGGGAUAACCACCGGAAACGGUGGCUAAUACCGAAUACGACCAGUCUUCGCAUGAGGUGCUGGUGGAAAGUCUUUUCGGUGAAGGAUGUGCUCGCGGCCUAUCAGCUUGUUGGUGGGGUAAUGGCCUACCAAGGCUUCGACGGGUAGCCGGCCUGAGAGGGUGACCGGCCACACUGGGACUGAGACACGGCCCAGACUCCUACGGGAGGCAGCAGUGGGGAGUAUUGGACAAUGGGCGAAAGCCUGAUCCAGCAACGCCGCGUGAGGGAUGACGGCCUUCGGGUUGUAAACCUCUUUCAGUACCGACGAAGCGCCCUGUCGGGUGGUGACGGUAGGUACAGAAGAAGGACCGGCCAACUACGUG
rnacentral:rRNA from 1 species